UGGGGAAUAUUGGACAAUGGGCGCAAGCCUGAUCCAGCCAUGCCGCGUGAGUGAUGAAGGCCCUAGGGUUGUAAAGCUCUUUCACCGGUGAAGAUAAUGACGGUAACCGGAGAAGAAGCCCCGGCUAACUUCGUGCCAGCAGCCGCGGUAAUACGAAGGGGGCUAGCGUUGUUCGGAUUUACUGGGCGUAAAGCGCACGUAGGCGGACUAUUAAGUCAGGGGUGAAAUCCCGGGGCUCAACCCCGGAACUGCCUUUGAUACUGGUAGUCUUGAGUUCGAGGGAGGUGAGUGGAAUUCCGAGUGUAGGGGUGAAAUUCGUAGAUAUUCGGAGGAACACCAGUGGCGAAGGCGGCUCACUGGCUCGAUACUGACGCUGAGGUGCGAAAGCGUGGGGAGCAAACAGG
rnacentral:rRNA from 1 species